GUGCUUGUUUUGACAGCACAUGUACUAAGAUUAGAAAGAUACAGAGAAGAUUAGCAUGGCCCCUGCACAAGGAUGACACAAAAAUUCCCAUGUGAGUCACCUAUAGCUU